rnacentral:rRNA from 1 species
GAGCAACGCCGCGUGAACGAUGAAGUACCUCGGUAUGUAAAGUUCUUUUAUUAAGGAAGAAAAAAGAGUGGAAAAACUCCCUUGACGGUACUUAAUGAAUAAGCCCCGGCUAAUUAUGUGCCAGCAGCCGCGGUAAUACAUAAGGGGCGAGCGUUAUCCGGAAUUAUUGGGCGUAAAGGGUGCGUAGGCGGUUUAAUAAGUCUAUAGUUUAAUUUCAGCGCUUAACGCUGUUGUGCUAUAGAAACUGUUUUACUAGAGUGAGUUAGAGGCAAGCGGAAUUCCAUGUGUAGCGGUAAAAUGCGUAAAUAUAUGGAGGAACACCAGAGGCGUAGGCGGCUUGCUGGGACUUUACUGACGCUGAGGCACGAAAGCGUGGGGAGCAAACAGGAUUAGAUACCCUGGUAGUCCACGCCGUAAACGAUGAGUACUAAGUGUCGGGUAAAACCGGUACUGAAGUUAACACAUUAAGUACUCCGCCUGAGUAGUACGUACGCAAGUAUGAAACUUAAAGGAAUUGACGGGACUCCGCACAAGCGGUGGAUCAUGUUGUUUAAUUCGAAGAUACACGAAAAACCUUACCAGGUCUUGACAUUUUCUUGCGAAGUUAUAGAAAUAUAAUGGAGGUUAUCAGGAAAACAGGUGGUGCAUGGUUGUCGUCAGCUCGUGUCGUGAGAUGUUAGGUUAAGUCCUAAAACGAGCGCAACCCUUGUCGUUAAUUGCCAGCAUGUAAUGAUGGGGACUUUAACGAGACUGCCAAUGAAAAAUUGGAGGAAGGUGGGGAUUACGUCAAAUCAUCAUGCCCCUUAUGAUCUGGGCUACAAACGUGAUACAAUG